rnacentral:rRNA from 1 species
UCGGCUUAGAGUUUGAUCCUGGAUCACAUUGAACGCUGGCGGCAGGCCUAACACAUGCAAGUCGAGCGGUAGGGAAGCUUGCUUCUCACGAGCGGUGGACGGGUGAGUAAUGUAUGGGGAUCUGCCCGAUAGAGGGGGAUAACUACUGGAAACGGUAGCUAAUACCGCAUAAUCUCUCAGGAGCAAAGCAGUUCGUUGCGCUAUCGGAUGAACCCAUAUGGGAUUAGCUAGUUGGUGAGGUAAUGGCUCACCAAGGCGACGAUCCCUAGCUGGUCUGAGAGGAUGAUCAGCCACACUGGGACUGAGACACGGCCCAGACUCCUACGGGAGGCAGCAGUGGGGAAUAUUGCACAAUGGGCGCAAGCCUGAUGCAGCCAUGCCGCGUGUAUGAAGAAGGCCUUAGGGUUGUAAAGUACUUUCAGUUGGGAGGAAGGCGUUGAUUAAUAUCAACGAUUGACGUUACCAACAGAAGAAGCA